CAUCGACUGCUGCUGCAGCUUCAGCCGAUCGUCCGUCAGGAUCUGGGGAAACGUUGGUAGGGAUCUAACCUCGGGAGCCAGAGCAGCAGAUGGCUGCGGCCUGCCUCCUCUGCAUACACAGGGGUUGCCUUGGUCAUGGUGUCUCUUCACAGCACUAACACAGUGACUAAGACAGAGGACAAAUGAGCUGCACGGGGAAGCCAAGGUGAGUCACCAUCAAGACCAGUGACUCAGAGGUUUGGGACAAGAAAUCAUGGAACGAGGUGCCUGCCAGAGUGUGAGGUGUGAGAGGGAGAGAGAGGAUAUGAUGAGUCUGGUGAGCAGGGAGCCACGUGUCUCAGUUAGUCACAGGAGCACCAAGUGGGAGGGGCUUCUUGUUCCUGGAAACGACCUGGUCACAGAGUGUUCAGUCCCUGAGCUGAGCCACUGUCUAACCUGGAAGAAGGCAGGUGAUGAACUACAAACGUCAAAGCUUAUGAGAGUUAGACACCCAUCCAAACCGACGUGGGCUUGUGUGCGCCAACUCUCAAAGGAUUACCCUAACUGCUGGUGCUGGCAUCCAUUCCAGCCUUCCCCUUCCUCUGGUCUACAAAGUGGAAAUGAGGGACAGAGUUUUUGAGUUUCCAAGAGAGGACUGAAGUCUAGAUUUACAAAUGCAUGUUAUGGGUCCAAACUAAAGCAACUGGGUGUAACUCGUCUGCAAGGCUUCUCAUCUGCUGAACUAUGGUGACCUCUGGCACCCAGAGCAAGCCUGGUGAGAGGAUCCAGGCCAGGCUUCAUCCUGCUGCGCGUGCCAGCGGACUGGAUGGGACUGGAUGGGGAGUGGAUGGGCUGGCUGGGAAGGAUAUAGGAUCAGGUCCUGCUUUUUACGCAUCUGGACUGCUAUGAGAAAGAGGAAGCCCGAAAUGGGUUGACAACAGCCAUCUUUUGGCCAGCACGAGCUUGACUCACCUUAACCUAAGACAGACUUCCUGCCAGCCCUGUGCAUCCCUCUGCUGGGACUGAAGAUGUUGGUGCUGAAGAUGGAGUGUUCUCUCAAGAGCCCAUGAUCCCAUUAUCCCCAGCCUCCUGACUGAAUUGACCUCAGUACUGGGGUGAUGGGCACAAGCCACCACCCCAGCUUGUCACAUGUAUAUUGCUUUUCCCAACUGGUUGGCAAGGCUACACAUCUCCGUGGCUCUCUUUUAAAUCCUCUAUGCUUCUCCCAAUUGCGGAGUCCAGGUUAGGACAGGACAGGAGAGCACCCCCUCUCCCCACCUGUCUUCUGUUUCCCGCAGUCCCUUCAGCUGGCCUCCCCCAGCCCCGUGUACCUCCUU